AGCGGGGUAGAGCAGUCCGGCAGCUCGGCGGCCUCAUAAGCCGCAGGUCGCGCGUUCAAAUCGCGCUCCCGCUACCA
rnacentral:tRNA from 1 species